UACGUAGGGCGCAAGCGUUGUCCGGAAUUAUUGGGCGUAAAGAGCUCGUAGGCGGCUUGUCACGUCGGUUGUGAAAGCCCGGGGCUUAACCCCGGGUCUGCAGUCGAUACGGGCAGGCUAGAGUGUGGUAGGGGAGAUCGGAAUUCCUGGUGUAGCGGUGAAAUGCGCAGAUAUCAAGAGGAACACCGGUGGCGAAGGCGGAUCUCUGGGCCAUUACUGACGCUGAGGAGCGAAAGCGUGGGGAGCGAACAGG
rnacentral:rRNA from 1 species